AUGGCGUCAACCGGAACCACCGAUAGCGAUCUUGUAAAGAAUGCAAAGGCAACAGCAGCAUCAGCAAAGACAGCUGUGGGGGAACAGACUGCAAAGGUUACAAGCGCUGCUGGUGGUGUUCAGAAGACCGUAGGAGAGUACGUUGACAAGGCUGCUGAUUAUGUUCAUUCCAAACCAGAUCCACCACCCGCUGAACCAGGUGUUUUUAGUGGUGUUGCGAAAGCUGCUGGUGAUGCUCAGAAGACUGUAGGAGACUUGUUUAAAAAAUGA